rnacentral:tRNA from 1 species
AUCUAAGUAGCUUAAAUUUAAAGCACAUCUUUGAAGAAGAUAUGAUGAAAUUAUUCCUCAGAUA